AUGGAAUAAGAUCUCAGAAUUUGGCAUUGGUUCAUGGCAUAGGCAUUGAGAACCAUCAUUGGUGUGACAAUCCUUGAAAUGGUGAUCAUAUCUCACUUGUAAGAUAAAUAUUCCUAAUGUAAGGCAUGUGUGGUGGUUUGGGGUAAUUAUGCAUCUAAUUAAUACACACCUAUCCCACACAACCACAAGCAUAAAUGAUAACACACCUAUAAACAUAAGCAUCAAUGCACCUAACCUAUUUACGUACCCACACAUCUAAUCGAUGAAUCUUGUUGGUGACCAUUCUCCUCUCAGGUAAACAGUUAAUCAUGUGUUAGUUAGACCGAGUAGGUCCAAGGGGGAUAGGUUUUAAUGUGUUAAUAAUCACAUAACCUAGAAAUUGAAUCUACACCCUCUAACCUUCUAAAUCAUUGACCCAUAACCCAUAACCCUUCUAAAUACACAAUGUGAUUUAUUCCCAUUGUUCUGCAUGUCAAAGUGAAGAAAUUCAACCAAGUGCGGGUAAACGGUGGGAGUAACUAUGACUCUCUUAAGGUGUUCAUAUGCCUCAUCAUCUGAUUAGUGAUGUGCAUUAAUGGAUCAUUAAUGGGAUUCCCCAUUUUCCCUAGCUAUUAUAUUCUAGAGAAACCAAAUCCAAGGGAAUGGGCUUGGCAGAAUUAACGGGGAAAGAAGACCAUGUUGAGCUUGACUCUAGUCCUAACCCAUUCAGAGUUUGGGAAAAUUAUG
rnacentral:ncRNA from 1 species